UGGGGGAUAUUGCACAAUGGGCGAAAGCCUGAUGCAGCGACGCCGCGUGGGGGAUGAAGGCCUUCGGGUUGUAAACUUCUUUUGCUCUGAACAAGGCAUGCCUUUGGGGUGUGUUGAGUGUAGGGGUUGAUUAGCGCCGGCUAACUACGUGCCAGCAGCCGCGGUAAUACCUAGGGCGCGAGCGUUGUCCGGAAUUAUUGGGCGUAAAGGGCUUGUAGGUGGCUGGUUGCGUCUGUCGUGAAAGCUCAUGGCUUAACUGUGGGUUUGCGGUGGGGACGGGCUGGCUUGAGUGCAGUAGGGGAGGCUGGAAUUCCUGGUGUAGCGGUGGAAUGCGCAGAUAUCAGGAGGAAUACCGGUGGCGAAGGCGGGUCUCUGGGCUGUUACUGACGCUGAGGAGCGAAAGCGUGGGGAGCGAACAGG
rnacentral:rRNA from 1 species